AUGCAGUCGAGCGGACCUUUUAAAGCUUGCUUUUGAAAGGUCAGCGGCGGACGGGUGAGUAACACGUGGGCAACCUGCCUGUAAGACUGGGAUAGCUUCGGGAAACCGGAGCUAAUACCGGAUAAUAUAAGGAACCUCCUGGUUCUUUAUUGAAAGAUGGUUUCGGCUAUCACUUACAGAUGGGCCCGCGGCGCAGUAGCUAGUUGGUGAGGUAACGGCUCACCAAGGCGACGAUGCGUAGCCGACCUGAGAGGGUGAUCGGCCACACUGGGACUGAGACACGGCCCAGACUCCUACGGGAGGCAGCAGUAGGGAAUCUUCCACAAUGGACGAAAGUCUGAUGGAGCAACGCCGCGUGAGCGAUGAAGGCCUUCGGGUCGUAAAGCUCUGUUGUUAGGGAAGAACAAGUGCGAGAGUAACUGCUCGCACCUUGACGGUACCUAACCAGAAAGCCACGGCUAACUACGUGCCAGCAGCCGCGGUAAUACGUAGGUGGCAAGCGUUGUCCGGAAUUAUUGGGCGUAAAGCGCGCGCAGGUGGUCCUUUAAGUCUGAUGUGAAAGCCCACGGCUCAACCGUGGAGGGUCAUUGGAAACUGGGGGACUUGAGUGCAGAAGAGGAAAGUGGAAUUCCAAGUGUAGCGGUGAAAUGCGUAGAGAUUUGGAGGAACACCAGUGGCGAAGGCGACUUU
rnacentral:rRNA from 2 species